UGACCUCUCCAAACAGAAUAUCGCACCACAACAAACCUGCCAAGAGAGGGCCGCCCACCAAAACUAACGGACCAGGCAAGGAGGGCAUUAAUCAGAGAGGCAAUUAAGAGACCAAAGAUAACCCUGAAGGAGGGUUUGCUAUUUGUUAACAAGCUGGUCAAAGAUCUGUGUCCAACAGGAGUGCAUCUCUCAGGCCAGCCGGUGCGUGGACAUCCUGUGCCAGUGUGAUCCGAGCACGAGCGUCCAGUUGUGGAGACUACAGCACAUUGAGCCCGUGGGCGGACAG